rnacentral:lncRNA from 1 species
AAGUUUAAUUGGCUUGAACAACCAGCAGCCAAGGUCCAAAAUUCUUCUAAAUGAAGAUCAAUCCACACGGUCCGUUUCAAGUAAUUUUAGUUAAUCGCCAUCAAAGUUCUGCUUGCAAACAUUUUUUAUCGUCUAAUUUCUAUGUGUGAUGGUAAGUAACCCCCAUUUUCAACUGAGAUGUUGUGAGUUCGAGUCUCCCCAAGAGCAAAGGUGGGAAGUUCUUGGAGGAAAGGAUGUCUAGGGUCUAUUUGGAAACAGCCUCUCUACCCCAGGGUAGGGGUAAGGUCUGCAUACAUGCUACCCUCCUCAGACCUCACUAAGUGGGAUUAUACUGGGUUGUACUUUUAGACAAGAGGGGUUGCUUAUUCCAACCGAGAAGUUGUGAGUUCGAGUCUCCCCAAGAGCAAGGUAAGAAGUUCUUGGAGGGAAGAAUGUCGGGGGUCUAUUUGGAAACAGCCUCUCUACCCCAAGGGAGAGGUAAGGUCUGCGUACAUACUACCCUCCCCAUAAAGUAGUUGUUGUUGUAAUUUCUACGUGUGAUUAGCAUAUACAAACUAUAGACAGCAGCAUCAUAAGAAAUAGACACAUAUAAUGAAGUAGAUCACACUCAAAGACAAACAAAAAGCUCAUUCGAAACCAACAGAAAUGCACAUUCAAUAUCAGUCAUGGAACAAAGAAACAAGUCAUAUACAUACCUACAACUGGACGUAAACAACAUAAACAGCACAACAAAACAUACCCGGGAACUUUAUCGACCCUCGACGGAACUACGAACGGACCUCGACGGAUUGAAUCUGAAAACCUCUCACGUUCAUAUCACCAUUUCUGUUGUGCGCGUGUACUGCUGUUUCCGUCGCGUUCUUGGGCAGCAAAGAUGAAAGGGAUCGUUUGGACGUGAAGUAGACGAGAAGGGCUGUUUGGUUGCAGCUGAUUGUUGGUCGUGGGCGAGGUGGUUUCGUUGGGGUGGUCGACUAGUGACGUGUUUGGUGGACGAAGACGCAGCUUGGGGUCGUUUGGUUGGUUCAGCUGGUGGUCGACUAUGGUUGACGUCGAAGGUGGUCUGUUCGACGGGCAGCAGUGACGCAGCAGAAGCAGAAACGACCUGGGGGCUGUUUGGUCGUGUGCUAGGCUGACGAUGGAGGACGAAGCAGCUGGAGGUUU